rnacentral:rRNA from 1 species
AUGCUCGCCUUAACUCCUCCGCGUCGCAUCUUGCAAAAUGUGAACAAGUUGGCAUGAGCUUUCCUUUGGUCCGGAUCGGAUAAGACCACAGGUGCAAAGUGCAAGGUAAAUUUGAAGGAUGUUUGCCGCCCGCAGGAAUAUGGUGGCCUUGGUGUUCUCAACACCGAUAAGUUUGCUUGUGCCUUACGCCUGAGAUGGCCAUGGUUUGAAUGGACGGAGUCAAACAAGAUGUGGGUCGGUUUGGGCAACCCAUGUGAUGAGGAAGACAUUUAUUUCUUCUAUGCCUCAACUACCAUUACCGUGGGGAAUGGGGCCAAAACACCAUUCUGGGAUUCCCCCUGGCUACAUGGAGCCAAGCCAAAGGAUGUCGCUCCACUAAUCUUUGAGGCUUCCAUGAGAAAAAAUUGGAAGGUGCGGGAGGUUCUAGAAAACAACGCAUGGAUCCUCAAGAUCAACCCCUCCACGGCCAUCUCCAUCGAGCAUAUCCGGCAAUUCUUCACGCUUUGGUCGCUCGUGCAUAAUUUCCACCUCGAUGAGCUUUCAGAGGAUUCUAUUAUAUGGAAGCACACGGCCGAUGGGCUCUACACCGCGGCCUCCGCAUAUAGGGCAUAG